rnacentral:rRNA from 1 species
GAUGAACGCUGGCGGCGUGCCUAAUACAUGCGAGUCGAGCGAACAGAUGAGGAGCUUGCUCCUCUGACGUUAGCGGCGGACGGGUGAGUAACACGUGGAUAGCCUACCUAUAAGACUGGGAUAACUUCGGGAAACCGGAGCUAAUACCGGAUAAUAUAUUGAACCGCAUGGUUCAAUAGUGAAAGACGGUUUUGCUGUCACUUAUAGAUGGAUCCGCGCCGCAUUAGCUAGUUGGUAAGGUAACGGCUUACCAAGGCAACGAUGCGUAGCCGACCUGAGAGGGUGAUCGGCCACACUGGAACUGAGACACGGUCCAGACUCCUACGGGAGGCAGCAGUAGGGAAUCUUCCGCAAUGGGCGAAAGCCUGACGGAGCAACGCCGCGUGAGUGAUGAAGGUCUUCGGAUCGUAAAACUCUGUUAUUAGGGAAGAACAAAUGUGUAAGUAACUAUGCACGUCUUGACGGUACCUAAUCAGAAAGCCACGGCUAACUACGUG